AGGGAAUCCCUCUGGAUGCUGCGCACCCCACAGCCCCAUGGGGCCUUGCACCAUCGUAGCCCAGCCAGAGGCGGGGACAUCGUCAAGGCGGCCGCGGCAGGAGGAGGAAAGUUUGAAAAGUCACUUAAAGCAUUGCAAGAUUCUCCCCCACCCCCAGCACCAGGAGAGCCCACCGCACAGAGAGGAGCCGGGGCUCCACGUGCGCAGCGGGCCCAGGAGAAGCUGGAGUUCCCUCUAGGUCCUCGGUGGACUCGCCAUCCUUUUACAGGGUGCUGACCGUCACACCACUCUGCGCUGUCCCAGGAGCGAAGGCACACCAGCCAGCCCUGAGAAGUUGGUCAAGACGAGCCUUGUCUCGAGAGCACAGAGUGUUGCGCUCACCUCAUCCAGCAAGAAAAAAACGCAACAUGGUCGAAUUCUUCUCAACAGCCUUUUUUAUUUCUGGAACGCCUCGAUGCAACGGGGACCCGGGAAACCCAGGGAGGACUGCUUAUAUACACCCCAGCACUGGGGAGAGCUAUGUGUCCUCCUGGGAUUGGUCAGUCUGCCCGCACUUUGAUUUGUAUGCACUGGCUCCAGAGGGGUUGGCGCCAGAUUCGGGCUAGCGCCUGCGCAGUGCUGUUGUUUACAGCGACGGUGUACCGGAGGCCAGUGCCACCUUUUAGGCGCCCGGCUGCCUACAACAGAGCACAUAGGUUACAGAUGGGUUAUCUCCGUUAUCAUUGGCAUCUACAAAUGAGGUGGUUUUCUAGAAAAGCGUUGGCUGUAAAGGGUGUCUUUCUAUAAUCCCUGGGGAGCAAGGAAGGCUCGUUGAGUUAGCCCUCAUGGCUGCAGUGACACGUCAGAUCACCUUAUCAUUUUUUUUUUAUCUAAUUAAACUGACCGUGGUUUUCUCUGUUAUGAAAUUAAGAAUGUCAAAGGGACCUACCACGAAUAAAGAAGCUUUAAAUCUCCCUCGAACAUACAAGAGACGAAGAACAUUACCGAAAUGUAAUCAGAGAAACUCCGUCAAGGGGAAGUCCCAUCAGGUGACCUGCCUGCCUCUCUGGAGGAAAGUCACGAGAGAAGAGAAAUAGGCAGGAGGUGGAGAGACCACUUGCUGAAGGAGAGGCAGCAGCGGUGGCGGCAAGACCUAGAGGAACCUGAGCCUCCAAGCAGCAAUACCCUUUCCUGGGCACUAAGAGGACCCCAGGCUGCCUGAGCAAGCACUUACACACCCUUUGGCUGGCCUAGGUUGUGCCUUAGGUGAGGGAAAGUAUCUCAAAAUAAAGUUUUUUAAAAAAAGAAAAGCU
rnacentral:lncRNA from 1 species